rnacentral:rRNA from 1 species
UGCAAGUCGGACGGUAGCACAGGAGAGCUUGCUCUCUGGGUGACGAGUGGCGGACGGGUGAGUAAUGUCUGGGAAACUGCCCGAUGGAGGGGGAUAACUACUGGAAACGGUAGCUAAUACCGCAUAACGUCGCAAGACCAAAGUGGGGGACCUUCGGGCCUCACACCAUCGGAUGUGCCCAGAUGGGAUUAGCUAGUAGGCGGGGUAAUGGCCCACCUAGGCGACGAUCCCUAGCUGGUCUGAGAGGAUGACCAGCCACACUGGAACUGAGACACGGUCCAGACUCCUACGGGAGGCAGCAGUGGGGAAUAUUGCACAAUGGGCGCAAGCCUGAUGCAGCCAUGCCGCGUGUAUGAAGAAGGCCUUCGGGUUGUAAAGUACUUUCAGCGGGGAGGAAGGCGAUGCGGUUAAUAACCGCGUCGAUUGACGUUACCCGCAGAAGAAGCACCGGCUAACUCCGUGCCAGCAGCCGCGGUAAUACGGAGGGUGCAAGCGUUAAUCGGAAUUACUGGGCGUAAAGCGCACGCAGGCGGUCUGUUAAGUCAGAUGUGAAAUCCCCGGGCUCAACCCGGGAACUGCAUUUGAAACUGGCAGGCUUGAGUCUCGUAGAGGGGGGUAGAAUUCCAGGUGUAGCGGUGAAAUGCGUAGAGAUCUGGAGGAAUACCGGUGGCGAAGGCGGCCCCCUGGACGAAGACUGACGCUCAGGUGCGAAAGCGUGGGGAGCAAACAGGAUUAGAUACCCUGGUAGUCCACGCCGUAAACGAUGUCGACUUGGAGGUUGUGCCCUUGAGGCGUGGCUUCCGGAGCUAACGCGUUAAGUCGACCGCCUGGGGAGUACGGCCGCAAGGUUAAAACUCAAAUGAAUUGACGGGGGCCCGCACAAGCGGUGGAGCAUGUGGUUUAAUUCGAUGCAACGCGAAGAACCUUACCUACUCUUGACAUCCAGAGAACUUAGCAGAGAUGCUUUGGUGCCUUCGGGAACUCUGAGACAGGUGCUGCAUGGCUGUCGUCAGCUCGUGUUGUGAAAUGUUGGGUUAAGUCCCGCAACGAGCGCAACCCUUAUCCUUUGUUGCCAGCGAUUCGGUCGGGAACUCAAAGGAGACUGCCGGUGAUAAACCG